UUUUCUGUGACCCCUGUCCUUUUCUGUGAACCCAGCAAACAGUCGAAAAUACAGAAUUUGUACCAUUAAAACAGUUUAGCACAAUACAUACAGACUGAAUGCAACCGUUUAAAAACCAUAAAGCAAUAUGGACCGUUUUGUUUGUGUCUUAAAGGAACGGUUCAGCGAAAAUGAAAAUUCUGUCAUAAUUUUACUCACCCUAACAAAACUAUUUCAUAAAUGGAAAAAGAGUGACUAUUCAGAGGAAAACAAAACAGAUGUUCAGCAUAAAGAACAUUGCACAGGUUCGGAACAACAUACAGGUGAGUAAGUUAUGAUAUAAUGACUGAACUUUGCAAAAGAAGAAGGAUUUAAGAACAGUAUACAAAAUAAAAUAAAAUCAGAAUCAUCAUAUCAUUAAC